GCUUCAUGCUUCCUUCCCUGUGAAACGUUCACACCGAGGGACCCGAUAGCGCUACUGCCCUGUUUGCGCGAUGCAACCUCGCAGCCCACGGGCCACGGUGAAAACGUCAUCGAGUGCGCGUGAAAGGUGAAAACGACUACUACUACCAAUCGUGUGCAGUGCAGUGUGUGUGUGCCCGCGCGCGCGUGUGUGUGUUUUUGUGUGGGAGCGUGCAUGUGCAAAGCAGUCACGAGACAGAGGCGCACGAGAGCGAGCUAGCGAGGCCGAUGCGCAACCAGUUGGCGAUCAACGACCAAGUCCCCACGCAGUGCACCACCUGUUCCUCCUUCUCCUCCUACACAGUGUUAGUGCCGGUGCAGGUGCGUUUGUCGCCGCGACCACAAUCAACCUUACAACCCCGUUACUCCCAGCACGAAAGCACUUUUCGGCGCAGCUUUGUUCAAAGGAGAUCGCCAACACAACAGACACAGUUCGCCACGGCAGCAACGAGAGGAAGCAGAAGCAGAAGCAGAAGAAUGGAUAGCAUCUGGAUAAAUGUGUUGCUGCUGACCAUCGCCAUCAGCCUCGUGCACACAAAUGGACAGUCGACGGUGAACGUGCAGCUCGAGGUGAAAAAGUACGUCGAGCGGGGCAGCGCAGUGGAACUGGACUGUGAAAACGAUGUCCUGCCCGAUAUCCUGUACAAGGUUACGUUCCUGAAGGAGGAUAGCAAGAUAUUUGAGUACAUCAAAGGACGCAGCCCACCGUACCGCAACUACAGCAUACCGGGCGCAGAAAUAGACUGGAAGAAGGUAACCCCAUCGAGGCUGACGCUGAAGAACGUGGACUAUGAGGCGUCCGGGUCGUACUACUGCGAGGUGUCCACCGAUACGCCCAUUUUCACCAAGGCGUCCAACGAUGAGAUGCUCCACGUGAUGCUGCCCCAAAAGGGACCACCGACGAUCGAGUUCGCCAAGAAGCAGCUGUAUUAUGGCGACACGCUGAUCGCGAACUGUACCACCUCCCGGGCACGCCCAUCACCCCACAUCACCUGGUUGAUUAAUGGCAAACAGGUGGAUGACGUUCAUGUCCGGCCGUUACAUCACAGCUCGAAGAAUAGCCACCGCUCGAAGGCUGCCCAGCAGAGCAUUGGCCAGCAACAGCAACAACAGCAGCAACAACAACAGCAGCAGCAGUCGAACACGGUGCUCCACCACGGGAAGCUCGUCGGUUCCGGUGGCAGCCAGUCCGUCAGCGGUAGCCUCAAGGAGCUGAAGCAGCGCACCAAAGCGGUGGAAAACGAGUUCCAGGACAAGCUGACCAAGUCAACGAGCGCGAUGGGGCUCGGUGGUGGUGGUGGUGGUGGUGGUUCGUACGCUGGUGGUGGUUUCGAGAUCCAGCCAAACGUGGGCUACAACUACGACGGUGGCUACAACUACGGCGUAAAGACGCACCAUCCGGGCAAGGAUCGGAGCGGCAACACGAUCGGCCUGCUGAACGGAGCCUUCGGUGGCCCAACGUUCGGUAGCUACGGUGGGAUGGCCGGGCUCGGUUCGCUCGGUACCGGUCCCGGUCUCGGCUUUUCGCCCGAUCUGUUCACGCUCGAGCAGAUGGACAAGCGGACCUGGAACCAGCGGCUCGACCACACACCCUACCAGCAGUACACCUACGACAAUAAGCAAUCACAGCAGCAGUCCCAGCAGCAGCAACACUACGGCAACGGUUACCGGAAGCAUCGCAACUCGUACGAGCACAAGUACCGACGGCACGUCAACGAGGGCGAGUCGCGAAAAAGCCAUCGGAUCACGGCGAGCUACAGCCAGUUGUCGAUCCGCAUCACAGAAGCGCUGACGAACAACCUGGGCCGGAUAGAGAUCACCUGUCUGGCGACGAUCCCGGCCCACGUCGAGCCGGGCGAACAGUACGCCGACUACAAGACUUCGUUGAUCAAACUGGACAUUGAACAGAACGAUCAAACCUCGCCGCAGCCAUCGAUGAGCGGUAUGGCCGCGUUCGGGAACUCUGGUGCCGGUGCACAGAGCAGCUUCCAUGCGGUGCCAGAACGCAGCCGGUCACUGGUGGCGACGGUGGUCGCCCUCUUUAUCCUGCUCGUCGUCUACCAGCGCGCCCAGCCGUUGAUGGUGUAAAUCUGCGCCCAAGCAAGCCCUCCUCCCUUCCCGCUCGCACCCCCAUUCACAUCAACCCCCUCCCUUAAUCCGCCAUCCCACGAGGAGAACAUCGGACAUCCAACAUCGGACGAACGGACGGACCCACAGCUUGCGGCCUAUCUAGUAUUGCAGAACAGUGCAGUGUGCGUGUUCGUGCGCGCGUGUGUGUGUGUGUGUGCGCUUGUGUUUGUCGGCCAACCCCGUGUUUUGCCUGUUUGAUUUUGCUGCUUUCGUAGGGUAGUUUUCAUUGUCGUGUGCGUAGCGGUUGGUCCGUGCGUGGUGGCACGUGGCAGCCACCGUGGCCGUCAGUGGUCCAAAUACGUACGAAUAACACGUGGAAGUGGAGUGUAAACGACAAAGGGGUUGCGGGCGGGCGGCGCGAAUGUUCGAGAUGAAAUGAGUUGAAAACGGUGCUAAACGAUGUAAAUCAAUGUUAGUGAGAAAGUUGUUCGAAAGCAAGUUCCGGGAGUAGAGUGGAGUGGAGUGGAGUGGAGCCCCACAAUCACUGCGUCGCUUCGUCAAAGUGUUUCUAUGUCUGCGCUUUUCGUCUUGUGCAGCUGUUUGCAUCCUCCUAGCUCUAGUUCGCAGCCUCCCUCCCCCUCCCCCCCCCCCCCCCCCGCAGCAAAAACCGAUCAACCGCUCCACAAUACGCAAUCAACCGACUCGCUCUCCUCGCUUUCCGCGGACAAAAUGCCGAAUGGACCGAACGGGCCGCAGCAGCAGUGAUCGACGAAUGGUUCCUAUUCUCCUACAUCCGUUACACACUCUCCCUAUCUCCCUCUCUCCCUCUCUCAAUCUGCCCUUUUUCGCUCUCCUCUUUCCUCGGGCGGGUAGGGCUUUUUUCUUUUACUGGAGCGUCAACAUCAUCCUUAGCCUGGGCGUCGCACCAGGCACAGCACACCAAGAUUGUGGUCUCUAGAUAGACUGGUGUACUGGUCAGUGACAAAAAAAAAUGGCUCGUACCACUAACUACUACCUGGGAGUUCACUGCUCAUUCCACCCGAGGGACCGGAGGG